rnacentral:rRNA from 1 species
UUAAGCGACUAAGCGUACACGGUGGAUGCCCUGGCAGUCAGAGGCGAUGAAGGACGUGCUAAUCUGCGAAAAGCGUCGGUAAGGUGAUAUGAACCGUUAUAACCGGCGAUGUCCGAAUGGGGAAACCCAGUGCAAUUCGUUGCACUAUCGUUAACUGAAUACAUAGGUUAACGAGGCGAACCGGGGGAACUGAAACAUCUAAGUACCCCGAGGAAAAGAAAUCAACCGAGAUUCCCCCAGUAGCGGCGAGCGAACGGGGAGCAGCCCAGAGUCUGAAUCAGCUUGUGUGUUAGUGGAACGGUCUGGAAAGUCCGACGGUACAGGGUGAUAGUCCCGUACACCAAAAUGCACAGGUUGUGAACUCGAAGAGUAGGGCGGGACACGUGGUAUCCUGUCUGAAUAUGGGGGGACCAUCCUCCAAGGCUAAAUACUCCUGACUGACCGAUAGUGAACCAGUACCGUGAGGGAAAGGCGAAAAGAACCCCGGCGAGGGGAGUGAAAAAGAACCUGAAACCGUGUACGUACAAGCAGUGGGAGCACCUUCGGGUGUGACUGCGUACCUUUUGUAUAAUGGGUCAGCGACUUAUAUUCUGUAGCAAGGUUAACCGUAUAGGGGAGCCGCAGGGAAACCGAGUCUUAACUGGGCGUUAAGUUGCAGGGUAUAGACCCGAAACCCGGUGAUCUAGCCAUGGGCAGGUUGAAGGUUGGGUAACACUAACUGGAGGACCGAACCGACUAAUGUUGAAAAAUUAGCGGAUGACUUGUGGCUGGGGGUGAAAGGCCAAUCAAACCGGGAGAUAGCUGGUUCUCCCCGAAAGCUAUUUAGGUAGCGCCUCGUGAACUCAUCUUCGGGGGUAGAGCACUGUUUCGGCUAGGGGGUCAUCCCGACUUACCAACCCGAUGCAAACUACGAAUACCGAAGAAUGUUAUCACGGGAGACACACGGCGGGUGCUAACGUCCGUCGUGAAGAGGGAAACAACCCAGACCGCCAGCUAAGGUCCCAAAGUCAUGGUUAAGUGGGAAACGAUGUGGGAAGGCACAGACAGCCAGGAUGUUGGCUUAGAAGCAGCCAUCAUUUAAAGAAAGCGUAAUAGCUCACUGGUCGAGUCGGCCUGCGCGGAAGAUGUAACGGGGCUAAACCAUGCACCGAAGCUGCGGCAGCGACACUAUGUGUUGUUGGGUAGGGGAGCGUUCUGUAAGCCUGCGAAGGUGUGCUGUGAGGCAUGCUGGAGGUAUCAGAAGUGCGAAUGCUGACAUAAGUAACGAUAAAGCGGGUGAAAAGCCCGCUCGCCGGAAGACCAAGGGUUCCUGUCCAACGUUAAUCGGGGCAGGGUGAGUCGACCCCUAAGGCGAGGCCGAAAGGCGUAGUCGAUGGGAAACAGGUUAAUAUUCCUGUACUUGGUGUUACUGCGAAGGGGGGACGGAGAAGGCUAUGUUAGCCGGGCGACGGUUGUCCCGGUUUAAGCAUGUAGGCUGAUUGUCCAGGCAAAUCCGGAUAAUCAAGGCUGAGGUGUGAUGACGAGGCACUACGGUGCUGAAGUAACAAAUGCCCUGCUUCCAGGAAAAGCCUCUAAGCAUCAGGUAACAUUAAAUCGUACCCCAAACCGACACAGGUGGUCAGGUAGAGAAUACCAAGGCGCUUGAGAGAACUCGGGUGAAGGAACUAGGCAAAAUGGUGCCGUAACUUCGGGAGAAGGCACGCUGGUGUGUAGGUGAAGCCCCUGCGGGUGGAGCUGAGACCAGUCGAAGAUACCAGCUGGCUGCAACUGUUUAUUAAAAACACAGCACUGUGCAAACACGAAAGUGGACGUAUACGGUGUGACGCCUGCCCGGUGCCGGAAGGUUAAUUGAUGGGGUUAUCCGUAAGGAGAAGCUCUUGAUCGAAGCCCCGGUAAACGGCGGCCGUAACUAUAACGGUCCUAAGGUAGCGAAAUUCCUUGUCGGGUAAGUUCCGACCUGCACGAAUGGCGUAAUGAUGGCCAGGCUGUCUCCACCCGAGACUCAGUGAAAUUGAACUCGCUGUGAAGAUGCAGUGUACCCGCGGCAAGACGGAAAGACCCCGUGAACCUUUACUAUAGCUUGACACUGAACAUUGAGCCUUGAUGUGUAGGAUAGGUGGGAGGCUUUGAAGCGUGGACGCCAGUCUGCGUGGAGCCAACCUUGAAAUACCACCCUUUAAUGUUUGAUGUUCUAACGUUGGCCCCUUACCGGGGUUGCGGACAGUGUCUGGUGGGUAGUUUGACUGGGGCGGUCUCCUCCUAAAGCGUAACGGAGGAGCACGAAGGUUAGCUAAUCCUGGUCGGACAUCAGGAGGUUAGUGCAAUGGCAUAAGCUAGCUUGACUGCGAGCGUGACGGCGCGAGCAGGUGCGAAAGCAGGUCAUAGUGAUCCGGUGGUUCUGAAUGGAAGGGCCAUCGCUCAACGGAUAAAAGGUACUCCGGGGAUAACAGGCUGAUACCGCCCAAGAGUUCAUAUCGACGGCGGUGUUUGGCACCUCGAUGUCGGCUCAUCACAUCCUGGGGCUGAAGUAGGUCCCAAGGGUAUGGCUGUUCGCCAUUUAAAGUGGUACGCGAGCUGGGUUUAGAACGUCGUGAGACAGUUCGGUCCCUAUCUGCCGUGGGCGCUGGAGAAUUGAGGGGGGCUGCUCCUAGUACGAGAGGACCGGAGUGGACGCAUCACUGGUGUUCGGGUUGUCAUGCCAAUGGCACUGCCCGGUAGCUAAAUGCGGAAGAGAUAAGUGCUGAAAGCAUCUAAGCACGAAACUUGCCCCGAGAUGAGUUCUCCCUGAGACUUUAAGUCUCCUGAAGGAACGUUGAAGACGACGACGUUGAUAGGCCGGGUGUGUAAGCGCAGCGAUGCGUUGAGCUAACCGGUACUAAUGAACCGUGAGGCUUAACCUU